rnacentral:rRNA from 1 species
UCGAGGAUCUUCGGCAAUGCGCGCAAGCGCGACCGAGCGACGCCGCGUGGGCGAUGAAGGCCUUCGGGUUGUAAAGCCCUGUCGAGGGGGAGAAAAGCGGGAAACCGUGUGAUCUAUCCCUGGAGGAAGCUCGGGCUAAGUUCGUGCCAGCAGCCGCGGUAAGACGAACCGAGCGAACGUUGUUCGGAAUCACUGGGCUUAAAGGGUGCGUAGGCGGGCUGCCAAGUUUGGGGUGAAAUCCUCCGGCUCAACCGGGGAAGUGCCUCGAAUACUGGCGGUCUGGAGGGAGGUAGGGGCGUGCGGAACUAACGGUGGAGCGGUGAAAUGCGUUGAUAUCGUUAGGAACUCCGGUGGCGAAGGCGGCACGCUGGACCUUCACUGACGCUGAGGCACGAAAGCCAGGGGAGCGAACGGGAUUAGAUACCCCGGUAGUCCUGGCCCUAAACGUUGAGAACUAGGUAGCAGGCCGGACAUGGGUUUGCUGCCGGAGCAAAAGUGCUAAGUUCUCCGCCUGGGGAGUA